rnacentral:rRNA from 1 species
GACGAACGCUGGCGGCGUGCUUAACACAUGCAAGUCGAACGGAAAGGCCCUGCUUUUGUGGGGUGCUCGAGUGGCGAACGGGUGAGUAACACGUGAGUAACCUGCCCUUGACUUUGGGAUAACUUCAGGAAACUGGGGCUAAUACCGGAUAGGAGCUCCUGCUGCAUGGUGGGGGUUGGAAAGUUUCGGCGGUUGGGGAUGGACUCGCGGCUUAUCAGCUUGUUGGUGGGGUAGUGGCUUACCAAGGCUUUGACGGGUAGCCGGCCUGGGAGGGUGACCGGCCACAUUGGGACUGAGAUACGGCCCAGACUCCUACGGGAGGCAGCGGUGGGGAAUAUUGCACAGUGGGCGGAAGCCUGAUGCAGCAACGCCGCGUGCGGGAUGACGGCCUUCGGGUUGUAAACCGCUUUCGCCUGUGACGAAGCGUGAGUGACGGUAAUGGGUAAAGAAGCACCGGCUAACUACGUG